UCCCACGCCAACAUCAACCAACGAGGAGCUGACAGAAAUAAGACGGGGCUUAUCAGAGGACCUGAGCCCUAGGACCAUGCCUCAGGACUACCUGGCCUGAUUACUCCUUGCUGUCCCCAGUCCACCUGGUCAUGCUACUGCUUCAGUUUCAACUGUUCUGCCUGCGGCUAUGGAACCCUGACCUGUUCACUGGACGUGCUACCUUGUCCCGGACCUGCUGUUUUGGACUCUCUCUCUACCACACCUGCUGUCUCUAACGCUGAAUGAUUGGCUAUGAAAAGCCAACUGACAUUUACUCUUGAGGUGCUGACCUGUUGCAUCCUCUACAACCACUGUGAUUAUUAUUAUCUGACCCUGCUGGUCAUCUAUGAACGUUUGAACAUCUUGGCCAUGUUCUGCAUGUUCUGUUAUAAUCUCCACCCGGCACAGCCAGAAGAGGACUGGCCACCCCUCAGAGCCUGGUUCGUCUCUAGGUUUCUUCCUAGGUUCUGGCCUGUCUAGGGAGUUUUUCCUAGCCACCUUGCUUCUACAUCUGCAUUGAUUGCUGUUUGGGGUUUUAGGCUGGGUUUCUGUACAGCACUUUGUGACAUCGGCUGAUGUAAAAAGGGCUUUAUAAAUAAAUGUGAUUUAUUGAUUGAUCGGCCAUUGGACAUAAAGAUUACACAACAAGUUGGAAAUCACAAAUUAAACAAUACAUUUUUCCGAGUUCCCACCAUAAAUCCAGAGAAUGCCAGACAAGCCAAGGUGAGUCCAAAAAUGUCUUGUAUGCUGCUGCAUAAAUGAUGUAAUAUGCAAGGUAGAUAUGUAUACUGUAGCUAAGAAAGUAAUACUAAGUGUAUGUUGUGUAGUAAGCUGUUAGUAGCCCAUGUGCCUCACCCUAAUAAUUUGGUCUAUUUUCACCUCUUGAUUUCACCUAACGUUACUGUUCUGACUUGGUGGUGCUGCACAUGUAGCCUAUAACCUGUUUUUGAGAAAUAUCAUCAUCCAAUAUUGUAAUAGGUUUCAUUGUCUGCGUAUAUGCCCCCUUUAUUUAUCCUAUGGUUCUGACGUGGUGUACAGGGAAAAUACUCUAAGAGCAGCCCAUGUUCUGCAUUCUGUCGCUGUACAUUUCAAAAGUACUGAACACAGUUAUAUUGACCACGUCCGUUGUUGCUCACUCAUGUCUUAAUCGAAAUUACGGAAUGCCUAUUAUCCGCUCAUUGUUUCCUUUUGCCAUAGAUUGUACAUCUCAAUUGUCAGUAGAAACUGCAUUUGUUUAAGCAAGUCAGCCAUAUCAGCUAUGUUUUUUAAAAAGGCAGUAAACGAGGCUGAAUUCAUUGUUUCGCUGACAGACAAGGCUCCGCUGAUAGCCAGGUGUAGCGGUGGUAAGGAUUCACUCCAUGGUGCUGAAAAGAAACCUCUGCUGUUGGGACAGCUUUGUGUAGGCCCUAACAGUUUGUGGGCACCGCUUGUUGCCGUAGUGUCUUGGCUGGCAUGCUGCUAAACAUUUGUAUUUAUUUUUUUCCCCAAUAAGCUAGAUUUACAUGCUAAAAUCGCCACUGCUUGUAUGAUUUUAUUGAAGCCUUAGUGUAACGUUCGCCGUAAGGAGUGGACCAAACUGCAGCGGGUAUAUUUAUCAUCUUUUAUUUGAAGGAAAAAACAACAAAACACUUACACAAAACAAACGACGGAAAACAGUCCCGUAAGGUGCUCAGACUAUACAGGGAAACAACCACCCACAAACACAAGUGAAAACACACACAACUAAAUAUGGCCUCCAAUCAGAGAGGACAAGAAACAGCUGCUUCUGAUUAGAGGUCAUUGACAAAACUAACAGACAUAGAAAAACCACAUAGAAAUAGAAAACAUAAACCAAAAACCCCGAAACACACUAAACAAACACCCCCUGCCACGCCCUGACCAAACUACAAUAACAAACAACCCCUUUUACUGUUCAGGACCUGACAGUUACACCCCCCCCC
rnacentral:lncRNA from 1 species